rnacentral:rRNA from 1 species
GACGAACGCUGGCGGCGUGCCUAAUACAUGCAAGUAGAACGCUGAAGGAGGAGCUUGCUUCUCUGGAUGAGUUGCGAACGGGUGAGUAACGCGUAGGUAACCUGCCUGGUAGCGGGGGAUAACUAUUGGAAACGAUAGCUAAUACCGCGUAAGAGUAGAUGUUGCAUGACAUUUGCUUAAAAGGUGCAAUUGCAUCACUACCAGAUGGACCUGCGUUGUAUUAGCUAGUUGGUGAGGUAACGGCUCACCAAGGCAACGAUACAUAGCCGACCUGAGAGGGUGAUCGGCCACACUGGGACUGAGACACGGCCCAGACUCCUACGGGAGGCAGCAGUAGGGAAUCUUCGGCAAUGGGGGGAACCCUGACCGAGCAACGCCGCGUGAGUGAAGAAGGUUUUCGGAUCGUAAAGCUCUGUUGUAAGAGAAGAACGAGUGUGAGAGUGGAAAGUUCACACUGAG